rnacentral:rRNA from 1 species
UACGAAGGGUGCAAGCGUUAUCCGGAUUCAUUGGGUUUAAAGGGUGCGUAGGCGGAGCGUUAAGUCAGUGGUGAAAUCCUGCAGCUCAACUGUAGACUUGCCAUUGAUACUGGCGCUCUUGAGUGCGCUUGAAGUAGGCGGAAUGUGACAAGUAGCGGUGAAAUGCUUAGAUAUGUCACAGAACACCGAUUGCGAAGGCAGCUCACUAAAGUGUAACUGACGCUGAGGCACGAAAGCGUGGGGAUCAAACAGG